AGCAGGCUCGCAGGGGAGAAGCCUGAUGUGGGGCUCGAUCCCAGGACUCCUGGAUCACGCCCUGAGCUGAAGGCAGACGCUUAACAACUGAGCCAUCCAGGCACCCCAGUAAAUGCUACUUUAUAAACAUAACCUACAAAGUGAUGUGAACUCAGACAUCGAUCUCAGGCUCUUCCCACAAUGAAACAGAGUGGUGCAUUUUAUAACCAGAGCCAACUCAGACCCCUUUGUUCCCUGCUGAAGCCAGCUCUCUUCCCUCUCAGGCAGAGGACCUGGCAUCCUCUCUGCUGUGCUCCUGCAGAGGUAAGAGUCUGUUUAUGCGUGGAAGAUAGAGGCAGUCUUCAGGCUGAAGCUCAUAGCGGUGCUCAGGCCCAGCAAAUGGCACUUUUAAUUCUCGUUUGCUAGUGUUCCCUAGAUGUCUACUGCCCUUGGGGGAUCUUGGCUGUGGCUGUGGCUUGGGUAAGACUGUUAUCUUUGGAUCACAUAAUGCUGUCAUAAUGCCUUCUUAAGACCAAAAUCUCCUUACCUAUUUUUAACAUGUAGCAUUUUCUAUGGCACUAUUUCUACUUAGGAUGUUAAAGCAAUCAUUUCUGCAUCUUUCCACAGUCUUCACAAGGAUACUUUUUGGUAACUGUAUAAUUCCAUCAAUACACCUACAUUAAAGGUGUAUGCAAAAGAAAAAGAACUAGGGGACAAACACUGGGAAAAGUGGCAUAAAUAUGAGAAAAGAAUAAGAAUUUCAAGAACUGAGUAUAGUCUUGAAUAUUGACAGGAGAAGUAAAGUGAACCACUGCAUCUUCCAAUGAGGUCACUAACAAUUUUAGGAAGAGAAAGUUAAUCUCUGUCCUGGGGGCAGAAGUAGGUAAAGGAAGUGAAGAAAUUAAGGGCACGUGUUCGUUACCUGCCAGGGAUUUCCCAACAGAGGGAAGUCCUUUGCCAAAUCAUAAGGUGGCUUGUGGGAAGGGAAAGAGGGCUUCUUCUAUUUUUUUUUAAAGGUAUUAUUUACUUACUUAACACAGAAAGAGAGACAGAGAGCACAAGCAGGGGAGCAACAGGCAGAGGGAGAAGCAGACUCCCCACUGAGCAAGGGGGCCCAAUGCGGGACUUGAUCCUAGGACCCUGGGAUCAUGACCUGAGCUGAAGGCAGACGCUUAACUGACUGAGCCACCCACACGGCCCAGCUUCUUCUAUUCUUAACAUUUUGGAAAGACUGGGUCAUUGGUUCCUAACUAGUUUACCAAUACAGGCAAGGCCCGCCUUUCCCCACCCCCUCCCCUUUUUCCUGUUGUCCCUCCAGCAGGAGGUAUGGUGGCAGCCCGCUCUCUCCUACUGCCUCCCGUCUUACCAGGAGUUAGUCUUUGGGAGCGUGACCAUACAUCCAGGUUUGCCUGGAGUUAGUCCUAACUUCCUCCUAAGAGCCCAGAGUCCACUCUGGUUUGUUAUACUCUUUCAUUUUCAAAAGGAUCCCAGUCUGGAUGAUAAAUUAUAUAGUCAUGCUGUCCAUGAACAACAGAGCUAGAACAAAAACAUGAGUGCACAAAAGCAAGUAAUAGUCCGCCAGCAAUUUACAUAAUAACUUCCAUUUAUCAAGCAAAUCACUCCGUGACACCACACACAUCAUUUCAAUUAACCCUCACAGCAACCCCACGAGGGAAUUUCGAGAACAUGGAUUUUACAAAUGAAGGAAGUAACGGUUAAAGCGCCUUGACCAAAGUCAUCCAACUAUGAGGAACAGAACAGGAUUCAAACAUCCAUCUGUGUGACCCCAACUUCUGCCCUGAAAGGGGGCCUGGCUGCCUCUUCAGGGAGUGUGGAGAGCCCCCCCCCCAAUUUCUGACUGUGAAGAAACAACUUUACCAAGAAAGGAAUACUCUCAACGCUAAAGGAAUACUCUCAAUCUUCCCUUUUUCAUCUUACAUUUGAAAGGAAAAAUCUGUUUCCGCAGCUGUCUGUGUAAUUCAGCUCUUGUUUCUGUAACCUAAUUUGAAAGAACACUUCCAAAAGAAGCAACCAAAUCUACAAAAGCACAGUUUGACUCGAAUGGAUCCAACCAAUUCGCAAAUGGAAAAUAACACUGAGGAGUAAGUUUUGCAUCACAAGCAUCGAGCUCUGAGUCGUUCCCAAUGACACUGAAGAUUCAAGGAACUCAGAAAAUGGAUGGCUUAAAAUCUUUGCCUGGCUUAAUCUUCUAAACCCAUUGCUCUCCCAGAAAAGAUGACUCAAGUUUUAGCCUUUGCUUUCAUCACCAGAGAGUCUGCAGUUUUCUUUAUUUCCCCUUUUUUAAAAAGUGGGUAUUUUUUUGCAUUUUAAUUUUUAAUUCCAAAAGCCCUCCCUUAAUGCA